rnacentral:rRNA from 1 species
CAGUCGUACCGGCGGAUAAUCAGCCUUUCGGGUGCGAUUCUGUGGGGCGUGAGGAGCUUAACCGCCUUCAUGUUUUGCAUAUUCGUGCACAUUUGGUGUACUUGUCCGUGUGGUGGGUUAACAUCAAUUUCGGUCGUCAUAAAAUGAUUGGAGGAAUGUAGCUUUGAUCUCGUAUCGAAGUGUUAUAGACUCUGGUAGAUGUGAUGAUCGGGAUUGAGGAACGCAGCGCGCCAUUUUGGCCGGGGGUCGCGUCCUCUCGACACGCGCCUAGGAUGCUGGCAUAA